rnacentral:rRNA from 1 species
GUGGGGAAUUUUGGACAAUGGGCGAAAGCCUGAUCCAGCAAUGCCGCGUGAGUGAUGAAGGCCUUCGGGUUGUAAAGCUCUUUAGCCGAUGAUUAUAAUGACUGUAGUCGGAAAAUAAGCCCCGGCUAACUUCGUGCCAGCAGCCGCGGUAAUACGAAGGGGGCGAGCGUUAUUCGGAAUCACUGGGCGUAAAGCGUGCGUAGGCGGUUUUGUAAGUUGGGAGUGAAAGCCCAGGGCGCAACCCUGGAAUUGCUCUCAAAACUACAAGACUUGAAUUCGGGAGAGGAUAGCGGAAUUGUCAGUGUAGCAGUGAAAUGCGUAGAUAGUGACAGGAACACCAGUGGCGUAAGCGGCUAUCUGGACCGACAUUGACGCUGAGGCACGAAAGCGAGGGGAGCAAACAGGAUUAGAAACCCUAGUAGUCC